GACGAACGCUGGCGGCGUGCUUAACACAUGCAAGUCGAACGGAAAGGCCUUUUCGGAGGUACUCGAGUGGCGAACGGGUGAGUAACACGUGGGUGAUCUGCCCUGCACUCUGGGAUAAGCCUGGGAAACUGGGUCUAAUACCGGAUAGGACCGCACUUUAGUGUGUGUGGUGGAAAGUUUUUUCGGUGUAGGAUGUGCCCGCGGCCUAUCAGCUUGUUGGUGGGGUAAUGGCCUACCAAGGCGGCGACGGGUAGCCGGACUGAGAGGUUGGUCGGCCACAUUGGGACUGAGAUACGGCCCAGACUCCUACGGGAGGCAGCAGUGGGGAAUAUUGCACAAUGGGCGCAAGCCUGAUGCAGCGACGCCGCGGGGGGGAUGACGGCCUUCGGGUUGUAAACUCCUUUCGCCAGGGACGAAGCGUUUUGUGACGGUACCUGGAGAAGAAGCACCGGCUAACUACGUG
rnacentral:rRNA from 1 species